rnacentral:rRNA from 1 species
CCUACGGGGGGCUGCAGUGGGGAAUAUUGGACAAUGGGGGCAACCCUGAUCCAGCCAUGCCGCGUGUGUGAAGAAGGCCCUCGGGUUGUGAAGCACUUUCAGUGAGGAAGAACGCCUGGUGGUUAAUACCCAUCAGGAAAGACAUCACUCACAGAAGAAGCACCGGCUAACUCCGUGCCAGCAGCCGCGGUAAUACGGAGGGUGCGAGCGUUAAUCGGAAUUACUGGGCGUAAAGCGCGCGUAGGUGGCUUGAUAAGCCGGUUGUGAAAGCCCCGGGCUCAACCUGGGAACGGCAUCCGGAACUGUCAAGCUAGAGUGCAGGAGAGGAAGGUAGAAUUCCCGGUGUAGCGGUGAAAUGCGUAGAGAUCGGGAGGAAUACCAGUGGCGAAGGCGGCCUUCUGGACUGACACUGACACUGAGGUGCGAAAGCGUGGGUAGCAAACAGGAUUAGAUACCCUAGUAGUC